rnacentral:sRNA from 1 species
AAUGCGUCGGGCCUUGUAACAUCAGCUAGGGGAGCAUCAGGCAGGGUUCUUCCCACGACUUUAAGGUAGUGAUGUUUCCUCUUCCUCCACAGCCCAGGCUUGCAUCCCUCCCUGCGGUCUCCAGGAGUUCGCCCGGCGUUUCCUCUGCAGCGGGUGCUACUCUAGGGUCUGCGACCUCCCGCUGGACUGCCCAGUUCAGGAUGUGACAGUGACUCGGGGCGACCAGGCUAUGUUUUCUUGCAUCGUGAACUUCCAGCUGCCAAAGGAGGAGAUCACCUAUUCCUGGAAGUUCGCAGGAGGAGGUCUCCGGACUCAGGACUUGUCCUAUUUCCGAGAUAUGCCGCGGGCCGAAGGAUACCUGGCGCGGAUCCGGCCGGCUCAGCUCACGCACCGCGGGACGUUCUCCUGCGUGAUCAAGCAAGACCAGCGCCCCCUGGCCCGGCUCUACUUCUUUCUUAACGUGACGGGCCCGCCCCCGCGGGCGGAGACAGAGUUGCAGGCCUCGUUCCGGGAGGUGCUGCGCUGGGCGCCGCGGGAUGCCGAGCUGAUCGAGCCCUGGAGGCCCAGCCUGGGCGAGCUGCUGGCCAGGCCCGAGGCUCUGACGCCCAGCAACCUAUUCCUGCUUGCAGUCCUCGGGGCCCUCGCAUCAGCGAGUGCGACAGUGUUGGCGUGGAUGUUCUUUCGAUGGUACUGCAGUGGCAACUAACAAAGAUAUCUCUUUCCUCCUUCCCUAUCCUAUUUCCAUCCUGAAAAUAAAGAA